AGCGAACGCUGGCGGCAGGCCUAAUACAUGCAAGUCGAACGGUCUCUUCGGAGGCAGUGGCGGACGGGUGAGUAACGCGUGGGAACGUGCCCUUUGGUACGGAACAACUGAGGGAAACUUCAGCUAAUACCGUAUGUGCCCUUCGGGGAAAGAUUUAUCGCCAUUGGAGCGGCCCGCGUUGGAUUAGCUAGUUGGUGGGGUAAGUGGCCCACCAAGGCGACGAUCCAUAGCUGGUCUGAGAGGAUGAUCAGCCACACUGGGACUGAGACACGGCCCAGACUCCUACGGGAGGCAGCAGUAGGGAAUCUUGCGCAAUGGGCGAAAGCCUGACGCAGCCAUGCCGCGUGAAUGAUGAAGGUCUUAGGAUUGUAAAAUUCUUUCACCGGGGACGAUAAUGACGGUACCCGGAGAAGAAGCCCCGGCUAACUUCGUGCCAGCAGCCGCGGUAAU
rnacentral:rRNA from 1 species